rnacentral:rRNA from 1 species
GACGAACGCUGGCGGCGUGCCUAACACAUGCAAGUCGAGCGAGAGACUUCGGUCUCUAGCGGCGGACGGGUGAGUAACACGUGGGUAACCUGCCUCAAACAGGGGGAUAGCCUCCCGAAAGGGAGAUUAAUACCGCAUAACAUCACGCUAUCGCAUGAUAGUGUGAUCAAAGGAGUAAUCCGGUUUGAGAUGGGCCCGCGGCGCAUUAGCUAGUUGGUGAGGUAAAGGCUUACCAAGGCGACGAUGCGUAGCCGACCUGAGAGGGUGAUCGGCCACAUUGGAACUGAGACACGGUCCAGACUCCUACGGGAGGCAGCAGUGGGGAAUAUUG